AUAUGCUAAGCAUGACAUGAAAUUGCAUUUAUACUUGCAAUAAAAGUAUUUAAUUGGUUUUAAUUAUAAUUCCAAUUUUUAAGAAAAUCGAGUAAGGAUAUUGUUGGUGUCCUUAACUCAAGAAUUUAGUUUUCAAUUAUUUAUUUACUAAAUUUUGGAAACCCGGCGUGAUGAAUCAAGUAUGUUUAGUACAUCCACUAAGACUUUAAGUUAGCUUCACGAGACCUAUUAAGAAUAGAAUUUCUUGUAGGCUUUGUGACCAGGGGGAUUAGCGCUGCUUCCCAAGACAGGUUUAUAUGUGAUUAUGAUCUUCAGGCUUUGCCUAACCAGGUUGAGCAGUUGAUGGAAUGGAAUGAUGUUGAGCGGGUGUUCCUUUGACAUUUCAAGAAAUGUAACCUUGAGUAUACAUCUUCAUAUGUAUAUCUCACACGUUUUCCGCUGCAAAACACUUUGAUUAGGAUAACUCUAUGAUAUGAAGUUGUGAUACGUGUUAUUGGGUAACCACCUUAAUCAGUUCUCAAUUAUGUGUAUGUUUUAUAAGUAUCCAAAUAAUCAUAUAUGAUCCUAGCAUUUUAUCUAUGAGUGACAUUUCCAUAUACUUUAAUGUUAAGUAAUUGUCCAUUUC